AACGAACGCUGGCGGCAUGCCUAACACAUGCAAGUCGAACGGAGACUUCGGGCUUAGUGGCGCACCGGUGCGUGACGCGGGGGAAUCUGCCCUUGGGUUCGCAAUCACAGUUAGAAAUGUCUGCUAAUACCGGUUGAUCUCUUCGCACCAAAGAUUUAUCGCCCAAGGAUGAGCCCGCGUCGGAUUAGCUAGUUGGUGAGGUAAAGGCUCACCAAGGCGACGUUCCGUAGCUGGUCUGAGAGGAUGAUCAGCCACACUGGAACUGAGACACGGCCCAGACUCGGACGGGAGGGAGGAGUGGGGAAUAUAGGACGAGGGGCGAAAGCCUGAUCCAGCAAUGCGGGGUGAGUGAUGAAGGCGGUAGGGUUGUAAAGCUCGUUGAGCCGGGGUGUUAAUGACAGUACCGGGAGAAUAAGCCCCGGCUAACUACGUG
rnacentral:rRNA from 1 species